rnacentral:misc_RNA from 1 species
AUCCCUUAAAAUAUUGAAAUUUCAGGCAUGUGUCAAACAGUGUAUUAUUUGUUUAUCUAACUCAUAGACCUAGGUUUCCUACUUCAGUGAUCUAACUACUGUAGUGGCAAAUGCCUGCAUGUUGUCAAAAUUGAGACAGUCUUAUUUAAAGGCAUUUUUAGGUAUAAUUAUUAAUAAAUUUGUAAUCUUCGUUUUUAUAUUACAGUACACAAAAAUGCCACCAAUACUAUCUAAGGAAGAAAAAAGACAGAAGAAAAAAAUUGCAGAACGUAUUAGGAUGGAAAACAUACGGAAAGAUCCAGAAAAGUAUGCUUUAUGGCGAGUUAAAAUGCAAGAAUCCUAUUUAAAAAGAAAGAGAGAAGGUAAGAUUCUUUCAGUUAGCAAUUUAACGCCUAGAGAACAAAAAAAUCAAAGAAAAAAGAGUAGAGAAAGCUCAAAAAAAUCGUACUACAAAAAGAAAUUAAAAGAACAGACAGAAAAACAAAUUGUUGAUGUAGUUAGCAAUGCAAAUAUUAUUAUGAGCGACCCUUUUAGUUUGACUCCAAAGAGAGAAGAAGAAAUCUCAAGUCCAUCUAGGCCGAUAAAAUCGCCUUCACCGCCAACACCAGCAUCAGUCCCGAUUAGAUCUCUCUGGGUGCGUUCCCCAAUAACUCCUGAACCAGAUUCAGCGAUUUCUUUACAACUACAGUCCCCAAUAUCUCCAAAACCUGAUUCAAAAAGAUUUCUUCAGGUAUAUAGUCCAACAAGUUCCAUAUCUGACUCACCCAGAUCACUCAGUCCACAAAGCAAUACCUCAAUUACUGGUAUACCUACUCACAUUGAAAACCCAAAAUGUGUACAAACUGCUCAACAAAAAAUAUCUGCGAAGAAGAAAUCUCCCUGGAAACAUCUCUUAUGCAAAUAUAUAUACCGAUACCGCGCAGAGCUACGAAUCAAAGACCAACAAAUUCGAGACCUUAAAAGAAUGAAUGAGAACUAUAAAAAGUUGUUACAGCGAUGGCAUAGAUUUAGAAAGUUCAAAAAUGCACACAACCAACAUGAACAAAAAAUACAAGAGAUAGACGUGUCUGAAAAUAAGAAAUUACACUUUGAGUCGAUUUGUAGUAAAGCUAAAGAAGACAUUAUAAUUUUUUUAGAAGAAGACGAAAAUAGCAGGAUUUGUCCAGGAAAAAACGAAUUUGUAUCAAAAGGAAAAAUAAAAAAACAGAAACGAUAUCUCACAGACUCUUUAAAAAAUUUACACAAAAAGUACAUUGCCACUUCUCAAUACAAGAUAAGCUAUAGCAGUUUUUGUAAGCUCCGACCAUUUUGGAUUCGCAUAGCAAGCGUGAAUAUUCGAGACACCUGCUUAUGUAAGGUUCAUGAGAACAUGGAACUGGUGGUAACAGCUUUACGAAAAAAAUAAUCUUAUUGAAGAGAAAUCCACUACCCAAAUCCUACAAUCUUUGUGUUGCGAUAGCAGAAUUGGUGAUUGUUUGUCCAGAAAUUGUGUACUGUGCAAAGAUAAACAAAUAACUUUUAAGGAAUUUGAUAACUCUAAAGAGACUGGACUUGGAAAAAGGUUUGAUUUUUAUUACAUGAUGUCAAUCCUUCAAGGUGAAAAAAGUACACUUAAACUUUUAGUUAUUAUGUUUUGUUGCUGCUUGAAGAAUGCAGUCCGUGGGAGUAACCCAGAAAAACGAAUAUGUUAACAAGGCCGCCGAAGCGGUACAGCUGGUGUUCAGGGGUACUACCUUAGCCUCAAACCAAUGUGCUUGUUUACAGCCAAACUAAUACCCAGAGUUUGCGAGUAUUCAACUGUCAGCAAAAUUUAAUUUUUAACCCUUGACUUUGGUAAUAGUUUUACUCUCAUAAUCAACAAUCCAAGUUUCAGAAAUAGAUUCGAGUUAAUAUAAUUUUUUAUAAAUACAUUGUUUGCCUA